rnacentral:rRNA from 1 species
CCCCGGCGCCACGAGUGGUCAUCACGUUUAUUGGGCCUAAAGCGUUCGUAGCCGGCUUGGUGCAUCUCUUGUGAAAUUGUUCGGCUUAACCGGACAGCGUGCAGGAGACACGGCCAAGCUCGAGACUGGGAGGCGCAAGAAGUAUGUCAUGGGGACUGGUAAAAUGGGAUAAUCCAUGAUAGACUACCGAUGGCGAAGGCAUCUUGCGAGAACAGAUCUGACGGUGAGGAACGAAAGCCAGGGGAGCGAACCG